rnacentral:rRNA from 1 species
UAGGGAAUCUUCGGCAAUGGACGAAAGUCUGACCGAGCAACGCCGCGUGAGUGAAGAAGGUUUUCGGAUCGUAAAACUCUGUUGUUAGAGAAGAACAAGGACGUUAGUAACUGAACGUCCCCUGACGGUAUCUAACCAGAAAGCCACGGCUAACUACGUGCCAGCAGCCGCGGUAUACGUAGGUGGCAAGCGUUGUCCGGAUUUAUUGGGCGUAAAGCGAGCGCAGGCGGUUUCUUAAGUCUGAUGUGAAAGCCCCCGGCUCAACCGGGGAGGGUCAUUGGAAACUGGGAGACUUGAGUGCAGAAGAGGAGAGUGGAAUUCCAUGUGUAGCGGUGAAAUGCGUAGAUAUAUGGAGGAACACCAGUGGCGAAGGCGGCUCUCUGGUCUGUAACUGACGCUGAGGCUCGAAAGCGUGGGGAGCAAACAGG